rnacentral:lncRNA from 1 species
CUUAUUUUGGGGUUUUGUGGUUGUCCGCCCACUCCUGGUGUCCAGCCCGGGACAGUUUGGCUACCGGCUGCUCGCACCUCCCCGCCAAGCGAGGUACAGCCAGCAGAUGGGAUCGACGAGGGGAGGACUCCUGCUUGCACGGGAUUUUACCCAGCGUGAACGUUGGGUGUACCUCGUGGGGAAGAAGAAAACUGCACCUGUUUUGAGUCGGUAGCCGGUUUUAUUUGAGUUACAAAAAGCGAUCGGACCUCAAAGUUGCCGUUGCUUUUCAUACCAUUAUUCUACUUAAUGCUUCUCCUAAAAAGACAGAAAGAUGUUGAACUCGGAAUCUGCAUAUCUAAAUGUACCUGAGACUUGAGAUGGGCACUGUCCUGGGUGCUCCUGUCCACCAUGCAGUGGGACCUCACACCUCCGGUGCAGAGAGGGUGGUGGGUUCUCAGAGCUCACAUUAUGACGACUGCACCCCUGCCUGAUGGCUACAUCAAGUUCAGCCCCAGCUGUCACCCAGCCCUAGCAGGGAGGCAUCCAGCUCAGGACUAGCAAAAGGCAGAGAAACAUUCAGCAGAAGUUGGAAGUAUCACAUUUCCAGCUUCAGCAUCUUUUGAUUCGAGGAGGAAAGAACAGCUUACAUGUGUCAGGUUUCUGCCUGUUUGCUCAGAUAUCACCAGACCUGUACUUUGGCUUGCCCAUCACAGAGCGCAUUGUGUUUGAUGCCAGGAAGGGAGGGGACAGCCUGCAGACAGAGGUGUACUCAGGUUCUCCAACCCCACUGCGCACCCCUGGAGCAGUUUGAUAUGAUCUGAAGACCACUGAUUUAAGGGAUUUACUCCCGUUCUGCAAUGGAAAAGGAAGAAGAGAAUAAGGCUGCAGGCUCUUCAGAUCUCAGUCAUCUACAAGUCUCCGGAGUCAGCCAAUGUCAAAACCAAUAUUCCAGGCUUUAAAUGUCAACACAGAUAUUGCUCAUCCCAGUAAAACAAACACAUUAAUGCAUUAAUUAUGACGGUGGUUGCUUCUGAGAUUAUAGCAAGAAUCAGUAAUUAACCUCAUGAGUGAGAUCCUCCCUUUUAAUUCACUUAAAGGCAUGGAGUACUUUUGUUUGAAAAUUGGUAUGUUAGCAGCAUUAUUCUAGUUUCCCUUCCAACCUGCAUCUUUCAGCUCAUCAAAUGAAGUCAUUCAUUUGCUACCAUAAACAAGGCAGUGAGUGGGUUAAACAGUGAGCAGAUCUUCUGUAAAUUGAAUGCACUGAAGGAAAAGGCAG